UCCGCCCGCAUACUCCCUCCCCUCCGCCCACUUCUGGUGGCCGCCACACCUCCCACUCCGUAUUCGCCUCCAUCUCCCCUCGUCUCCUCCAUCAGCCCUCCUCAGAUCCAGCUUCUGCCGCUCACGUUCAGCACACACCCCCCACCCUCCCCUCCAGCGCGGCGCCAGGAGGGGAUGGCGACGACCGAGAUGUGGGGCGGGGCGGGGCGGCGGUGGUGAAACCGGUUCUCACGGCGUGGCCUGGUGGGGCUGGCGCGGCGGGCGGAGGCCGCCGCCGCCAUCCCAGGAGGCGGGCACGUCGACCGCGCGGCGCGGGAUGAGGUCGACGCCGGCGACGAGCGCCUCGUGGUGCUCCCAGGCCUCCCAUCAUGAAUGGUUCCUUUUAUCUUGUUUGUGAUGUAGUGAGGGAUCCUCUCAUGCUGCAACUAAUAUUAAUCAUGAAUUGUUUUUUAUCUUGUUGCAGCGAGCAGAUAGGCAUAGCCGUCUUCCUCAGCCUCAGAUCCGCGUUCUAACGUGGUGAACCGGUGCCUCUACUGCAACCCGACGACGAGCAGCGGCCGUAGCGCUCGGCGAGGCGUAGAAGGUUCGGUGCUGCUGCCCGUCAUGGAGUUCCCCGAUGAGUGGCUUCAGCGGCGUCCAUCCCCCGUCCAACAUUGUUUGCAUCAGCAGGUGUAACCUCGUGGAUCCAACUUGACUGGAUCCGUGGCCACCGGAUCCAUCGCUGCCGCUGGGAUGUGGAGAGGCAGCUGGUGUUCUUUUUCCAUUCUCAAUUCAAUUUCGGCUAGCAAUUCAUGCAUGUGCACCUUCCCUUUUGAGGUUAUUGCGCCUGAUGCUUCUGAUUUGACAGGCGGGCAGGCAACUCGCAAAUCUCAGCAUCAAGGGCGGAACUGUGCCUGGCCCUCGAGCCCUCCACUUCCGCCUUGAUGGUUGAAGGUAGCGAUUAGACUUGGAGGUGCACCUCGCGAGCUUUAUCUGCAGGACGCCAUCCAUGCCGAGGGCUCUCGGUCAGCAACAAGCGGCAAUCUGAUAGGCCAUGAGGGGCUCAAGAAAUAUUUUGCUCUCAGUCAGCAACAAGCAGCAAUCCAGCAAGGCAUCAAGGGCAAGAAAGUACAAGGCUGCAUCUUGUCAUAUUUUGCUGAACCUGUCUUUCAUAGUUUUUGUUGCUUGAGUGGCUUAAAUGCCAUGUUGCUCUAGAGAAUUAUGAACCAGAUUUGAAAUAUUGUUCUGGUGAUGGUAACUUGGAUGAUAAUUUUUUUGUCUUGUGGGCUGAAUUGAUUAUUUGAUAAAUAUGCUAAAUUUUUCAUGGGCUUUA